rnacentral:rRNA from 1 species
UACGGAGGGUGCGAGCGUUGUCCGGAAUUACUGGGCGUAAAGCGCGUGUAGGCGGUCUUUUAAGUCUGAUGUGAAAGCCCCGGGCUCAACCCGGGAAGUGCAUUGGAUACUGGGAGACUUGAAUACGGGAGAGGGCAGUGGAAUUCCUGGUGUAGGAGUGAAAUCCGUAGAUAUCAGGAGGAACACCGGUGGCGAAGGCGGCUGCCUGGACCGAUAUUGACGCUGAGACGCGAGAGCGUGGGGAGCAAAC